rnacentral:lncRNA from 1 species
CCAAUUACAGAUUGUUGGAAGUAUUCUUCUUGGCCUUCUCAACGUUCUAAAUGUGAUCCCGUCAGGUUUCAGUUUCUACCAGGUGCUCUGAUGAGCUACGCACAAUUACAAAGUGUUGCGAAUAUUAUCAAUAUAUCAUAUCCAUGAUGAAGUUGUAAGAAUUACUCUGUACUUUAUGAUAUCUGCCAACAGCAAUAAAACAAAAUAAAUUGGCUUACCGAAUCAUUGUCAUUGUAGUAUUGCACGCCUUGUACAUGUUCAUCUGAUGAAUAUCUUGGUCGAAGCAUGAACUAUAGACCAUGAGACCUCAUCAGCAAUCGAGCCUGCAGCUUCUCAAAAAAAAAAAAAAAAGCAAAAAAAAGCUUCAACUAUCAAGUCUGCAACAAUGUGUUUCAGAAUUUAUGGUACACCUAAUGAUCAUCAACAUGAAUAGAUAUUAAAUUCGCUCUAAUAACAAAAAUACAAAAUGCAAAUCACACACAUCUUAACAUUACUAGAAAAUUUUCUAUAAAUAUCACAAGAGUCACUCUGAGCAAAAAAAAACUAGUAACCUUGCAUCACUGAAAUCACUUGUAUCGGCUCUCACUGAAAUUUAGUCGAAGCAAUGGCCAAUAAAAUGACAGUUGCUGUCCUAAUAUUGCUCUAUGUUACGUCCCUAGUAACAUAUACAUCUGUUCAAUGCAGAUCAGAUUACACAGAAGCACGGGUACACGUCUUUCAUCUUGGAUUCCUGUUCUACAUCCUACUGGAUCAAGAAUUCAAGAGAGCUGCUGCAAACUAGCCGGCCCUAUGCCACUUAUCACCUUCAACCGCUCCCUUCCAGGCACUGGAGGCCUGGUCUCCGAGUGGCAGAGUAUUGGAAACACUCUUGUUGACCUUGUCUUUAUCAUAACUAUUGUUAGACAUUUUGAUAUGAUGAAAAUCAUGUCUCAGCAAGAACUGCAGACCUCUAGACUUCAUUUAGUUGAGCUUGCUACUCAAAAUAGGAAUCGAAAUUCUAAAUUUUUAUGAACAUUUGAAAUGCAUUUAAAAAAAAAAAAGUUUCACAUUUUCGCCAAAACUUUGCCUCAAACAUUAACCUCAAAUGGUUAAGAUGUAUUCUAAUGUGCAAUGCAUUCCAUGAAUUGGAAUGCUCCAUUGAAAAUGUUUCCAUGGAGGUUAAGAUUUCCCGUAUAAAUCAGAAAACUUUAAAUUGCAGAAGCAAAUGCCGAUGGUUUGUUUGCUACUCCCUCCGUCCCAGUUUUCUACUCCCAUUUUCUUAUUUCCUUGUCCCAAAAGGUUGUCCAUAUUAAGUUAACAUGAUAAAUUACAUGUUAAAUUUAUUGAUAAUUUACUAACAAUGAAAUUGAAGCUAAGAACAUUAUCAAAUUGUUCAUACAAUUGACUUGUCUUUUACUUUAAACUCCCAGUCAUCACAACUUGUCCUUACAAACAAACAGCGUGUCCCAAGAGUUCAGUGUAACUAAAAAGUCAUAUCUUUUUUUGACAGAAUGACGGUUACGUCAUGAAUUGGAUCGAAACACAAUAUCCGAAGAACAUGUAAGAAGUCGUAUCUUUAUUUCCAUUAUAUAUGACUUUCAUGAUAAAAAAAAGUCGUCUGAUGCUAAAUUAAUUAAACGACACAAUAAUCUUCAGUUGAGCUAACUAAGGUGCAUGGGCAACAGGGCAAGUUGCAGUUCAUAGGGUGGCCUCAGUUUUGGAGUAAAGCUCGCAGAACUUAGAUGAUAUUGUUGGAUAUGUUGACAUUGUGAAGCCUUCUCCACAAGUAGCUGCUUUCAGUGUAGUAGUAAACGCUUGGAUCCUAACAAGUGGCAAUUAGCUAUCUAAGAGGCUAAGAUAAAGCCCCCAGAAGUUCGAUGCUCAUUUAUCUGAUUUUUACUCGUUAUAUCUUUCUAUAAAUUGGCUAAUAUGCAGACAGAUUUCAUAACAAUCACUUCGAGUUAAAUGCAAUGGCCCUAAAAUUUACAGUUAAUGUUCUGGUUCUACUCUCUGUUACCUUAAUGGCAGCUUCGUCUGUUGAAGCGCAACUAGGAUAUCCUGUUUCUUAUGAUAUCACUGGGAAACUCUACUGCACCCUCAAUGGCAGUAUCGGCACCAAUGGCACUGCAACUCCAGUUUUCCCAGGUGAGCACUCGUAUCAUCAUCGUUAUCCUAAAAUGAUCAACAUAUACAUAAGCACCAAAAAAAAUUAUUCUAAAAUUUUAUAAAAAUGCAGGUGCAUUGGUGCAAGUUGUGUGCGUAAAUACUACAAAUCCACUUCUUACCGGAACAACUUUGGCGGAUGGUAGAUUUACACUUCAAACUCCUAAUCCAAUACCUCCGAACUGCACAUUAGUUGUCCCAACGCCGCUCUCCACCUGCAA